rnacentral:rRNA from 1 species
CUUGACAUCCAGCGAACUUGGCAGAGAUGCCUUGGUGCCUUCGGGAACGCUGAGACAGGUGCUGCAUGGCUGUCGUCAGCUCGUGUUGUGAAAUGUUGGGUUAAGUCCGCAACGAGCGCAACCCUUUAUCCUUUGUUGCCAGCGAUUCGGUCGGGAACUCAAAGGAGACUGCCGGUGAUAAACCGGAGGAAGGUGGGGAUGACGUCAAGUCAUCAUGGCCCUUACGAGUAGGGCUACACACGUGCUACAAUGGCGCAUACAAAGAGAAGCGACCUCGCGAGAGCAAACGGACCUCAUAAAGUGCGUCGUAGUCCGGAUCGGAGUCUGCAACUCGACUCCGUGAAGUCGGAAUCGCUAGUAAUCGUGGAUCAGAAUGCCACGGUGAAUACGUUCCCGGGCCUUGUACACACCGCCCGUCACACCAUGGGAGUGGGUUGCAAAAGAAGUAGGUAGCUUAACCUUCGGGAGGGCGCUUACCACUUUGUGAUUCAUGACUGGGGUGAAGUCGUAACAAGGUAGGCGUAGCGAG